rnacentral:rRNA from 1 species
AUACGAAAGGUGCAAGCGUUGUUCGGAUUUACUGGGCGUAAAGAGAGUGUAGGUUGUUUAUUAAGUCGGAUGUGAAAUCCCGGGGCUCAACCUCGGAACUGCAUUCGAUACUGGUAGACUAGAGUUCGGGAGGGGUAAGCGGAAUUCCGCGUGUAGCAGUGAAAUGCGUAGAUAUGCGGAGGAACACCUGAGGCGAAGGCGGCUUACUGGACCGAUACUGACACUGAGACUCGAAAGCGUGGGUAGCAAACAGGAUUAGAUACCCUAGUAGUCC